rnacentral:rRNA from 1 species
AUUGAACGCUGGCGGCAGGCCUAACACAUGCAAGUCGCACGAGUGGCGUGCGGGUGAGUAAUGUGUGGGAAACUGCCCGAUGGAGGGGGAUCACUCCUGGAAACGGUAGCUAAUACCGCAUACCAUCAGAUGUGCCCAGAUGGGAUUAGCUAGUUGGUGGGGUAAAGUCUCACCAAGGCGCCGAUCCCUAGCUGGUCUGAGAGGAUGACCGGCCAGACUGGAACUGAGAGAGGGUCCAGAGUCCUAUGGUAGGCAGCAGUGGGGAAUAGUGAACAAUGGGCGCAAGCCUGAUGCAGCCAUGCCGCGUGGAUGAAGAGGGCCGUCGGGUGGUAAAGUACGUUCAGCGGGGAGGCGUUAACCGCAGAAGAAGCACCGGCUAACUCCGUGCCAGCAGCCGCGGUAAUUC